rnacentral:rRNA from 1 species
GACGAACGCUGGCGGCGUGCCUAACACAUGCAAGUCGAGCGAUGAAGCCCUUCGGGGUGGAUUAGCGGCGGACGGGUGAGUAACACGUGGGUAACCUGCCUCAAAGAGGGGGAUAGCCUCCCGAAAGGGAGAUUAAUACCGCAUAACAUUAGUUUUUCGCAUGAAGAACUAAUUAAAGGAGUAAUCCGCUUUGAGAUGGACCCGCGGCGCAUUAGCUAGUUGGUGAGGUAAAGGCUCACCAAGGCGACGAUGCGUAGCCGACCUGAGAGGGUGAUCGGCCACAUUGGAACUGGGACACGGUCCAGACUCCUACGGGAGGCAGCAGUGGGGAAUAUUGCACAAUGGGCGAAAGCCUGAUGCAGCAACGCCGCGUGAGUGAUGAAGGCCUUCGGGUUGUAAAGCUCUGUCUUUUGGGACGAUAAUGACGGUACCAAAGGAGGAAGCCACGGCUAACUACGUGCCAGCAGCCGCGGUAACAC